GCCCUCUUAACUCAGUUGGUAGAGUGCGUCACUAGUAAUUUCUGGUAUGACGAAGUCAGUCGUUCAAAUCGGCUAGAGGGCA